rnacentral:lncRNA from 1 species
GCGGCUACCGAGACCUUAACUAAUAAAUGGGGACCUACCUACUAACUAUUAACCUCGCACCACUUACCUAGAACCCUGCUCUACCGGCAAUCGGGCUAGCUAUAUCGAUCUCACAUCAGUGGUUGUCUGGGUCAAUUCUCUGACUUAUGAGUUUUCUUCCCUCUGAUCCGGUGCCUACUCUUUUACUUACCUGUUCCACUCUCUCAUUCCAC